rnacentral:rRNA from 1 species
UACGGGGGGGGCAAGCGUUGUUCGGAAUUACUGGGCGUAAAGGGCCCGUAGGCGGCCAACUAAGUCGGAUGUGAAAUCCCCAGGCUUAACCUGGGAACUGCAUCCGAUACUGGAUGGCUUGAAUUCGGGAGAGGGAUGCAGAAGUCCAGGUGUAGCGGUGAAAUGCGUAGAUAUCUGGAGGAAUACCGGUGGCGAAGGCGGCAUCCUGGACCGACAUUGACGCUGAACGGCGAAAGCUAGGGGAGCAAACGGG